UACGGGUGAGGCAAGCGUUGUUCGGAAUCACUGGGCUUAAAGCGCGUGUAGGCGGCUCGGUAAGUACCUUGUGAAAUCCCUUCUCUCAAUGAAGGAACGGCGAGGUAUACUGCCGGGCUUGAGGCAGGUAGGGGUCACUGGAACUCUAGGUGGAGCGGUGAAAUGCGUAGAUAUCUAGAGGAACGCCCGUGGCGAAAGCGGGUGACUGGGCCCGUCCUGACGCUGAGCCGCGAACGCGUGGGUAGCAAACGGG
rnacentral:rRNA from 1 species